UACGUAGGGUCCAAGCGUUAUCCGGAAUUACUGGGCGUAAAGAGUUGCGUAGGUGGCAUAGUAAGUAGAUAGUGAAAGCGUGUGGCUCAACCAUACAUCCAUUAUCUAAACUGCUAAGCUUGAGAACGAGAGAGGUAGAUGGAAUUCCUGAUGUAGGGGUAAUAUCCGUAGAUAUCAGGAGGAACACCGAUGGCGUAAGCAGUCUACUGGCUCGUUUCUGACACUAAGGCACGAAAGCGUGGGGAGCAAACAGG
rnacentral:rRNA from 1 species